GAUCAAGUGUAGUAUCUGUUCUUAUCAGUU
rnacentral:piRNA from 4 species